AGACCCGAAACCCGGUGAUCUAGCCAUGGGCAGGUUGAAGGUUGGGUAACACUAACUGGAGGACCGAACCGACUAAUGUUGAAAAAUUAGCGGAUGACCUGUGGCUGGGGGUGAAAGGCCAAUCAAACCGGGAGAUAGCUGGUUCUCCCCGAAAGCUAUUUAGGUAGCGCCUCGUGAAUUCAUCUCCGGGGGUAGAGCACUGUUUCGGCUAGGGGGCCAUCCCGGCUUACCAACCCGAUGCAAACUGCGAAUACCGGAGAAUGUUAUCACGGGAGACACACGGCGGGUGCUAACGUCCGUCGUGAAGAGGGAAACAACCCAGACCGCCAGCUAAGGUCCCAAAGUCAUGGUUAAGUGGGAAACGAUGUGGGAAGGCCCAGACAGCCAGGAUGUUGGCUUAGAAGCAGCCAUCAUUUAAAGAAAGCGUAAUAGCUCACUGGUCGAGUCGGCCUGCGCGGAAGAUGUAACGGGGCUAAACCAUGCACCGAAGCUGCGGCAGCGACGCUUAUGCGUUGUUGGGUAGGGGAGCGUUCUGUAAGCCUGUGAAGGUGUGUCGUGAGGCAUGCUGGAGGUAUCAGAAGUG
rnacentral:rRNA from 1 species